rnacentral:rRNA from 1 species
AGGCUGCAACUCGCCUGCAUGAAGCCGGAAUCGCUAGUAAUCGCGGAUCAGCACGCCGCGGUGAAUACGUUCCCGGGCCUUGUACACACCGCCCGUCACACCACGAGAGUUUGUAACACCCGAAGUCGGUGAGGUAACCUUUUGGAGCCAGCCGCCUAAGGUGGGAUAGAUGAUUGGGGUGAAGUCGUAACAAGGUAGCCGUAUCGGAAGGUGCGGCUGGAUCACCUCCUUUCUAAGGAA